rnacentral:ncRNA from 1 species
AAGCGCCGUAUACCGAACGGUACGUACGGUGCUGUGAGAGGACGGCGGUUUGUCACCGCCUCCUACUCGAU